CAUUCUAACUUCCAAGGGGGAAGAGGAGAGCCAGCCUGGGGACUGGGAAGCAACUGAGCCCUCCCGUGUCCCCCAGGGCCUGCCCGCUCAGAGGGCUCCCAGGAGACGGCUGGAGUGAGGCCCGAAGCAUCCCUUUUCACCCUAGUUGCCACCUCUACCGGCCCAGCUGUCCCCUCCCCCAAGGCAGGCCCACUCUCUCAGCAAAGCCAGGUCCAGCCAGAGAGUGAGGGGCACAGGCUGAAGGGUGCAGGGCACUCAGGGCCCAGAGCAGGGCCAGGCACAGUGCCAUUCUGUGCUCCCCCUGUCUCCUGGGACAGCUGCAGAGAUCUUUCCACCGAGGUGCUGGGCUACUGCGGCUGGCUCUAAGGCACCAUGAGCACAGAGGGCCCCGGCCUCACCAGCCCCCCAGCCUUCCUCGUCACCCCAGUCACUCCUGGGACCCUCGCGGAGGUGGCAGACCCCCUCCCUGUGCUCAUCGCCCUGGCCUGCGUCUUUCUCCUGCUGGCCUCCUGCCUGCUGUUCCUGACACUCUGCAAGCCAGCCGCACUGGACCCUCACUGCCGCCGGGCGCCAGAGUGCCUGCCCCACCACCCCUCCAGCCCCAGCGAGCCCCGCUUGCGGCUCUGGAAGCGCCUGGGCUCACUUCGCAGCUCCCUGCACAGCUUCCGGCGUGGUGGGCCUCCCCCUGCACGCCCCCUGCCGGGAUGCGAUGACAGCCUCGGUGACAGUGCCUGCGCGGAAUUUACCAAGCUGUGACGGGGUCCCCAGGUUUACCUGCGGAACCUCCUGCUUGGCACCAUAGACUGCAGGAUGGCAGCCCAGACAACAUGUGCUCCAAGGCCCCUCUAGGCCUCUUUUGUGUGCCUAGUCCAGGUCCUUUCCCAGAGGUGGCCCUGGAAGAGGGCCUUCUCCUUUAGAGCCCCCGCUGCCGCCUGCUCGACGACCCCUGGGUCACACAUCAGGACGGACAGGAGAGACCAGGGCAGAUGCGGGCAGUGCCAGGGAGGCAGGGGGCUGCCUACCACCAGCAGCGGGAGGGGAUGCCCCUGGGUGCUGAGGAUGCACUACAGUUGCUCUGUGCCCCACCAGAGAAAGAGGCCACCUCCUCUCGGGUGGGACCAUCUAGACCUCCAGGACAGCUGUGGGACCUCCAGCCUGGGCCACAUCAGAUGCUCUGUGUUUCACUGACUGACUCAUCGGUAUGGGCUUCUCUGACUUGAGAGACCUCAACUUCUCCACCCAAGGCCAUGGCUAAACACAGGUUGGGCCUCCAAUUUGGAGAGUGUGCAGAGGGCUUUAUUUCAAGAACUGGGCCUUUGGUUUGCCACUCCCCAGCUUCCAAACCUUCACCGGCUCCCUCAUGCCCACUGGACAUGGCCAUAGCUCCUAGCCUGGUGUACACUGCGCUCCUGAAUUAAAGGUUUCACUCCAGGAAAACUGAAUCACCUGUCUUCCCUGUCCACCUUACGCUUCAUACAGCACCUGCUCUGUGAAGCCCUUUCUCCUCCAGUUGAACUGAUCUCUGCCUAGAACUCUGACUCUUCUCCUCCUGCCGCCUGCACCAUCUUGCCUGUGUCUCUCCUCCAAGCCUGGAAGCCUGUGGAGAGCUGGAUCUUAUCCAACCUCCUGCUUUGACCUGCCAGUUCCAGGAAUAGAAGCACCAAACCUUUGUUUAGGGAUGAAGGUUGCCCAGGCUGCAAGCAUCCUUACCCCAAUGCGGUGGGAGACCUGUUAGGAUCCGGUACAACCCAGGGCCCCAACUGGCCUCUGAUGCUCCCAGAAGGAAGACUUCCCUCCAGGCAGGCCCUGUUGGACGGGUCACUGCGCCUUCCUUCCUUCCCUCCUCUCCCCUCCCCUCCCUCCAUUCAUAUUUCCUUCCCUCUGUCCCUCCUUUCUGGCUUGGUCUGACCUCAGAUGGGGAACCCAGCUUUGCCAGAAACUCCUCACAGGGCAUGGAACGAGGCACCCAGAGACCUGAACUUCUUAAGAAGUGUGGGGAGAAGCAAGGAGUCUCGCAUGACUUGUGUCUAGAUGUCACCCCAAAGCCUUGUGCAGUCAUAGAUGGAGCUUUACGGAGGCGGCUGGAUCUAGAGUGUGUGAUGCUAGGAUGGAUCAAGGCCAACUAUGAACUGAAGUCUCUACAAACUGU